UUCCUUAUCCUUUAGUCAUUAGGAGGAAUGGUGCGUGGGUUGCCUUAGUUGCACCUUCGGAGGAUCAUUGUUGAUUACUGCCAAGCAGAGCGACCCGUGGCCAUGUGGGAAUAAAUCGUCGGUGGUGGGGCGCCCGAUGCGGGGCGUGCCCUCGAUCGUUGACCGAGCCGGCACCUCGUAUCUUGUUUCGGGAUCGGCAUCGGGCGUGCCGGGUCAGGUUUGGCACAAGAACGAGCCCCGGCGGGGAUCGCGCCAAGGACCAGUAACUCAGCGUGCGGUGCCUGGCCGCCGGACGCCCGGCGAGCGAGGGGGCGACCCGUCUUAUCUGAACGACUCUCGGCAAUGGAUAUCUCGUCUCUCGCAUCGAUGAAGUGCGUAGCUAAAUGCGAUACUUGGUGUGAAUUGCAGAAUCCCGUGAACCAUCGAGUCUUUGAACGCAAGUUGCGCCCGAAGCCUCUAGGCCGAGGGCACGUCUGCCUGGGCGUCACGCAUAGGGUCGCCCCCAACCAAGCCGCGGUGCCUGUGCGCGCUGGGUUGGGGCGGAGAGUGGCCUCCCGCGCGUUGCCGCGCGGCUGGCCUAAAACUGGAGCUCGGCGGCCGCGCCACGACGUUCGGUGGUCGACAAGGCGAAGGCCAAGGCUGCAUCGCGUCUUGCCCGGCGCGUCGCCCGCGAAGCUCGCACGACCCCGCCGCGCCGUCCGUACGGCACCAACGCAGCGACCCCAGGUCAGGUUGGUUUAUUCGCUGAGUUUAAGCAUAUCAAUAGACGAAGGAA
rnacentral:rRNA from 1 species